rnacentral:rRNA from 1 species
CCCUAGUAACGGCGAGUGAACCGGGAAAAGCUCAAAUUUGAAAUCUGGCGUCCUCAGGGCGUCCGAGUUGUAAUCUAUAGAGGCGUUUUCCGUGCCGGACCGUGUCCAAGUCCCUUGGAACAGGGUAUCAAAGAGGGUGACAAUCCCGUACUUGACACGACUACCGGUGCUCUGUGAUACGUCUUCUACGAGUCGAGUUGUUUGGGAAUGCAGCUCAAAAUGGGUGGUGAGUUCCAUCUAAAGCUAAAUAUUGGCGAGAGACCGAUAGCGAACAAGUACCGUGAGGGAAAGAUGAAAAGCACUUUGGAAAGAGAGUUAAACAGUACGUGAAAUUGUUGAAAGGGAAACGAUUGAAGUCAGUCGUGACCGAGAGGCUCAGCCGGCUCUGCCGGUGUAUUCCCCUCGGUCGGGUCAACAUCAGUUUUGUCCGGUGGAUAAGGGCGGUAGGAAGGUGGCACCCACGGGUGUGUUAUAGCCUGCCGUCGCAUACACUGGGUGAGACUGAGGAAUGCAGCUCGCCUUUAUGGCCGGGGUUCGCCCACGUCCGAGCUUAGGAUGUUGACAUAAGGC